AUGAACGCUAGCGACAGGCCUAACACAUGCAAGUCGAGGGGCAGCACAAGGAGCAAUCUGAGGUGGCGACCGGCGCACGGGUGAGUAACACGUAUGCAACCUGCCUGUAAGCGGGGAAUAACCCGUUGAAAGACGGACUAAUACCGCAUAAUACUAAAUUACUGCAUGGUAAAUUUAUUUAAACAUUUAUGGCUUACAGAUGGGCAUGCGCAUGAUUAGCUAGUUGGAGAGGUAACGGCUCCCCCAAGGCAACGAUCAUUAGGGGUUCUGAGAGGAAGGUCCCCCCACACUGGUACUGAGACACGGACCAGACUCCUACGGGAGGCAGCAGUGAGGAAUAUUGGUCAAUGGACGAGAGUCUGGAACCAGCCAAGUCGCGUGCAGGAAGAAUGUCCCUAUGGAUUGUAAACUGCUUUUGCAGGGGAAUAAAGUGCAUCACGUGUGAUGUUCUGUAUGUACUCUGCGAAUAAGGAUCGGCUAACUCCGUGCCAGCCGCAGC
rnacentral:rRNA from 1 species